GGUGGCGAUAGCGAAGAGGUCACACCCGUUCCCAUACCGAACACGGAAGUUAAGCUCUUCAGCGCCGAUGGUAGUUGGGGGUUUCCCCCUGUGAGAGUAGGACGCCGCCAAGC
rnacentral:rRNA from 1 species